rnacentral:lncRNA from 1 species
UGGAGGGAGUUAUCGUGGAGGUGGAGGGUGGGAUUGUGGAGGUUGGUGUGGAAGGGAAGAACAGCAUCAAAAGCCUUAUAGGCCGGAUUGGAGGAGGAGGAGAAGGGGUUAGGAGGAAGAGGAUGGGGAAAGAGGGAGAGCACUCAUGGGUGCACUUAGAGAAAGAGAAAGAUGAUGAGGAGAAAAGAGAGGAGGAAAAAAGAGGGGCCACCAGCAAGGAAGGAUGGAAGUGGAGGAGAUAGGGAAGGCGA